rnacentral:rRNA from 1 species
AGACAGAGGUGGCGAGCGUUGUUCGGAAUUACUGGGCGUAAAGGGCGCGUAGGCGGCGCUUCAAGUCGUCUGUCAAAUGGGAGGGCUUAACCCUUUUUCGCAGACGAAACUGGAGAGCUUGAGAAGCAGAGAGGCAAACAGAAUUCCUGGUGUAGCGGUGAAAUGCGUAGAUAUCAGGAAGAAUACCAGUGGCGAAGGCGGUUUGCUGGCUGCAUACUGACGCUGAAGCGCGAAAGCCAGGGGAGCAAACGGGAUUAGAUACCCCGGUAGUCCUGGCAGUAAACGAUGUAUGCUGGGUGUGAGACUAGCGAUAGUUUCGUGCCGAAGUUAACGCGAUAAGCAUACCGCCUGGGGAGUACGGUCGCAAGAUUGAAACUCAAAUGAAUUGACGGGG